ACAUAACUGAUGCCUCCGCGUAUCGACUUUGUGCGCAUUUUAGCUAUUAUGUGUUCUUUUAAUUAAAAUGAUUCUUUUUAAGAUUCAUCUAUUAAAAAUUUGCUUCGGCAUAAUUUUUUUUGAUGAUCUUGUUACUUUGAGUAAAUUAGAGUGUUCAAAGCAAACAGAUAUAGCAUUUGUGCGUUUGAAUACUACAGCAUGGAAUAACAAAAUUGAACAAGUCAGAAUUUUUUUGUUCUUUUUUCUUAUUUUGGCUUAGUUACGAUUAAUAGGAGUAGCUUGGGGGCAUUUGUAUUCAGAUGUCAGAGGUGAAAUUCUUAGAUUUUCUGGAGACAAACAACUGCGAAAGCAUUUGCCUAAAAUACUUCCAUUAAUCAAGAACGAAAGUUAAGGGAGUGAAGACGAUCAGAUACCGUCGUAAUCUUAACCAUAAACUAUGCCGACUAGGCUUUGGAUGAAAGAUUUUGAAAUAAGAGUUUUUCUUUUCUCUCCGGAGAUUAGAACUCUUAGAUUGCUUCCUUCAGUGCCUUAUGAGAAAUCAAAGUCUUUGGGUUCUGGGGCGAGUAUUCGCGCAAGCGAGAAAGUUAAAAGAAUUGACGGAAGGGCACCACCAGGCGUGGAGCUUGCGGCUUAAUUUGACUCAACACGGGAAAACUCACUAGUUUAAGACAAGAGUAGGAUUGACAGAUUAAUAGCUCUUUCUUGAUUUCUUGGAUGGUGAUGCAUGGCCGUUUUUAGUUCGUGAAUAUGAUUUGUCUGGUUAAUUCCGAUAACGAACGAGAUCUUAACCUGCUAAUUAGCGGCAAAUACGAUAUAUUCUUAUGUAGAAUUGAAUAUAGUGGAUUUGUUAGAUUUUGAAGAAAAUAUUGGAAUUACGUUAAAUGUGAUUCCUUUCCCUUUUCUACUUAAUUUACAUUUCCAUCUAUUUCCUUUUUGCGUAUGAAUGUAUUUGCUUGAUUGUAAAGCUUCUUAGAGGAACGAUGUGUG
rnacentral:rRNA from 1 species